rnacentral:rRNA from 1 species
AACGCGAAGAACCUUACCCAGGCUUGACAUGCACAGGAAUAUAGCAGAGAUGUUAUAGCCUUUCGGGGUCUGUGCACAGGUGCUGCAUGGCUGUCGUCAGCUCGUGCCGUGAGGUGUUUGGUUAAGUCCAGCAACGAGCGCAACCCUUAUCAUUAGUUGCCAACAUAUUAGGUGGGAACUCUAAUGAGACUGCCUGGGUUAACCAGGAGGAAGGUGAGGAUGACGUCAAGUCCGCAUGGCCCUUAUGUCUGGGGCUACACACGUGCUACAAUGGUCGGUACAGAAGGCAGCGAAGCCGCGAGGUGGAGCAAAUCCGUAAAGCCGACCUCAGUUCAGAUUGUAGUCUGCAACUCGACUACAUGAAGACGGAAUUGCUAGUAAUGGCGAGUCAGCAACAUCGCCGUGAAUACGUUCCCGGGCCUUGUACACACCGCUACAGU